UCACGGCUGGCGUGUGUUCUAUUUAGAGCUUGUUAAACCAAUGCCUCCUUUACUAGUAAAGGAGGCAUUGGUUAAACGUGCUACUUCUCUCAUUAAUUAUUAAUACGUGCACUGUUAGCCAUCUUAGUGCUUAAAUGUCAGGCGCCAGAGAUCGCGCGUUUCAAUCACUUGUGACCUGCAAAGUUGUUCCCAGUGCUACACAGGCGUGUUUGUGCCGCUGUAACUUAUCCGCCACGAUGAAAAGUACUGUACAGGAACCUCAGUGCAAGUGCUGAAGGCUGCCGGUAACCUAUCUAGUGUCGUUAGUGGGUUUCGGUGCUUGUCUUGCAGACGAACUUUUAUUGAUUGCUUUUUCGCGGUCUCUUCCCCUGAUCCUUUUGGUUUUUAAGCUGUGCUGUAAGUGAUUGUUUCUAUAUGACCUCACUGUGUGACUAAAUUACCAUCCGUUUGUUCUUUUUCAGAUGCACAAAAACCCAUUAAAAACUAUCAAGGGGACUGACACGUACUGGCGACAUUCGCCAUACGUGCGGUUGCGGCGGUGCAUGCAGUCCAACUUUGAAUACCGGUGCUACAUGGGACACUUUCGAUCGCGAUCGAAUUACUUGGCCCCUGCUUGGUCCCAUUGGCUCCUUUGCGCAAGCUGCUGAAGGGAGUCAAUCACAGUAGAGAAAGUCGAUCCCGAUCGGGCUUGAUCGCGAUCUGAAGUGCCUCGUUUGACCCGUGUAUAAGAUCAAAAUAAACGCUAAGUUAGCAAAUCGAGCUUGAAGAAACUUUGUAGUUCUCCCACCAUCUGCAGCCGCACUUGUUUCAAAACAAUUUCAGAAACGUGAAUACUCACAUCGACCUUGGAGGCCCGAAAACACUGAUUUCACUUUUGAUGAUGGGCACUUCAUUGCUAAUGGUUAGAAACUGGUACGCUGGACAUGAAAACAUAUUAACCUCCCCAGCCCCCGACACAUUUUUAUUCUGCUUCUGCGCCUAAGCUUACAAUUAACAUGCUGUGAUUGGUUGCCUAGUGUGUUAUUUACGAGGUGAAUGAGAUCUAGAACUACAAUAAGCGCUGAAACUACUAUUUGAGAGUAGCUGCAACUUCAGACGAGAUUGAGUACGACGUAUACUGCCCAUAGAUGUCCAGCCAAUAUCGCACUUGUCUAGAAAAUGGUGCAUCCUAGAAUUAUGGUGACAUUUGGAAGUGAUCGUAGGCAGCUCCUCAUUGAGCGGGUAUUGCCAAAGAAACAGUGCUGAGAGAGUUUUGUGCUGUAAUUUUUGCAGCACAAAGCACACUCUAGAUCAGUCUGCACUUGUACAGGCCUCCACACUCUUGGAUGGACCACUUGUACCUGCCGAGUAACUUAAAUUUCGGACCCAUCUAUGACAUCUUGGACCAGGUAGGGCGCUGGUGUCUUGCUUGCAGAGGAGGCAUUUGAAAGUCGUAUAUGCAAGAUCGGUAAACUAAUUACUUCAUUUAGUCACGAGGAGUUACUGCAGUUUAGCUAUGAAUCUUAAGCGAAUCCUCUGACUUUUAGUUCUGUUUCUGUCGGCAUGCCUGCAUGCUGCAUUCACACUUCUGGCACUGUUUGCUACAGGAGAACCUCCAAAUGUACAAGCCUGCUGGUAUGAUAUCCAAAAGUGAAUGCUGCCGGAGAACAGUCGACUUCCAUUCAUUCAACAUAGGUUAUCAUGACCAGUCUUUUUGUUAUACCAUGUUGAAGAGUCCCAGAAAGCUUCGUGCCUUAUAAGCCCUCCAUUUAAUGUGAAGGAAACCUGGGAUGUCUCUGAGGUAAAACUAAUAGAAGUCGACUGGUUCUUGUAGCUACUGAUAAGACGUUCAAGGCAUGUAUCAGAUACAGGCAUUAUCAUAUUGUUUUAUUGAGUGAGGAGAGAAAAGGCAAUGGUCAUUUUAACUGGGGAAUGCAUUUAAGAAUAGUGGUGUUGCUGACUGAGGUAAAGAUGAAAUUUUUGCUGUUUUUUUAGAUAAUAGAGAAUUUGUAAGAAUGAAAGGGGACAUGCCUUUGGUGCCAAUUAAACCUGCAACACCAAUGUCCUGUGCCAUCCCCCUUAUAAUAGAGCCUGCCCAUUGGUAUCAGUUUUCCACAAUAAGCCUCUUGUUAGCUACAAAAUUUAACUUGGAAAGCACAUGCAAGAUGUCUGAUCUAUCAUAAUUUGGGUUUCGACAAAAUUUGUUGUAAUGUACACAUCUUCAAGACAUUUACUCCCAACUAUUAGGGUUGUACAAUGUUUAACUAUGGAGCUCAUUCAUAGUGGUGGCAAUUAUGUUACAUAAAAACCUUGAAUGGCAUUCAUACUAAUUUCAAAUUGAUCAAUACUGAUCAAGCCAUUUAAGGAAACUACCUGUUGGUUGUCUCAUAGGCAGCAACUGUCCUGGUGGGAAAUGCAGAAAUUUUUUACGCACUCUGAAGAUAUGUUGUGAAACUGGCUUGCUGCUAGCACCAGGAUAACCAUAAAGUGCGGCUUAAAUUCAGUGCAUUAACAGUGCCGGUCUCUUUUUCACACUGAUUUGCUGUGACCUUCAGAAGCACAUUGUUCUCUGGUGGUGCGGGCGUGGUGCAUACCUUAAAUUUAAUUCUGUAAUGCUGUUUCAGGACAUCACGAGACUGCAUCCGUCCUCCUGCUUGUGUCCAAGAAGACUUCUCGUGAACGAUCCUUUUCAUUGAAGUUCUUUCUCGGCGCUAUGGAGAUAAGCUCACAAAGGCAGAAGUCUAAAGACAGAGAGCAAGUCAUAUACUAGAAAUUGUGCUGCCAACAAUUACCAUAAAAACAGAGCUCCUGUGUGAUGCCACUGAGAACUGUGGCUCACUUUCUGAUACAAGUGACCCACCAAAUAAUGACACCGAAGAAGAUGAUGUACACAAUGCAGCUGGGGACAAAGGACAUCAUCAUGGGUUAUCAACUAGCCCAGUUCCGCACUUUCCUGAAGAGGAGGAGUUCACUAUAGAUACAGCUGCACUACAAGAUAGAGCUGAGCGUGAUGAAGCGAAUCUCCGAUUGUGGUCUCCAAAUGGCCUGUUCCCAAAGUUCUCGUCAUAUGUUCAGCCCCUUCUGCAUGGUGCCUCGAUGAUGGCACAAAGGCACAAGGCGCUCUCCUGCGCUCUGCGCGAUGAGAUCAUCCAGUUCCUAAAUGAACACAAGCUGAUCCAGCACACGAACACGUCAGUCAUGCGCUGGGAGUACUGUGCGCUGGGGCGGUCCUUGGCUGUACGGUACCCCAACAUGGUCUGGGAUCACCCCAAGCCUGGCACGCAGCUGCCUUACAAACAGAAGAAUGCUUGGAGUGUCUUCAUAAGACGCCUCACUGCAUCAAGAAAGGCCCUGAAGUGGAGGAGGAAGAAGAAGCUUCUGAAUUCAUAUUGGACUCCCCAAGGAUCUACAUCUACAAUUAGGACUCCACCCACCACUGCUUCCUAGGCUGCUAAAACGCUGCAUACGAGCAAGUGUUCAAAGCCUUCAGCUACCACCGUGAUGGCUAUAUGCAGUGUCUAAAGAUGUUAGCAGAAUUGUACAAUGCAAACAACAGAAGCCUUCUCUACCCCUGCAAGAAAUAAAAGUAUUCCUGUAUAAUUUUCUGA
rnacentral:misc_RNA from 1 species